rnacentral:rRNA from 1 species
GACGAACGCUGGCGGCGUGCUUAACACAUGCAAGUCGAGCGGUAAGGCCCUUUCGGGGGUACACGAGCGGCGAACGGGUGAGUAACACGUGGGUGACCUGCCUCUAGCUCUGGGAUAAGCCUGGGAAGCUGGGUCUAAUACCGGAUAUGACCUCGCGGUGCAUGUUGCGGGGUGGAAAGCCUUGUGCGGCUAGGGGAUGGGCCCGCGGCCUAUCAGCUUGUUGGUGGGGUGANGGCCUACCAAGGCGACGACGGGUAGCCGGCCUGAGAGGGCGACCGGCCACACUGGGACUGAGACACGGCCCAGACUCCUACGGGAGGCAGCAGUGGGGAAUCUUGCGCAAUGGGCGAAAGCCUGACGCAGCGACGCCGCGUGAGGGAUGACGGCCU